ACUACAGGGCAAACUGUAGAGAGUUGCUCUCUAAUUGACAUUGAAUCCCAAGCUCUGUGUAUUCUGUGUAUUCUUUCAGUAGAGAUCCUUGAGGAAGCUGUGGUGCCUACUACAGGAGAUGGCAACCCCAUGUGAAGGCUGCUGCUUGGUCCCAGGAGCCGUAUGGCUGCUGGCAGCGAGACGUGGAAUCCAGGCAUGCUGCUGACACAGGAAACCAAACUGAAUUCCAAGAAGAGAAACAGCUCAAGCUCAUCACAAUAAAUUUCCUUUUCUUUCCAAGAAGGGAUAGUAAUUGCAGACGCUCAUACCAUCUAUAAGACUGUCAAGUGGGGUGUUUUUAACCAUAUUAUCUUACCCACUGCUGCAUGGGACUGCAUCUCAACUUUCAUCUAUUCAAUGUUCCUCUCAAUAAAAUCAAAUAUCUCUGAAUC
rnacentral:lncRNA from 1 species